rnacentral:rRNA from 1 species
AUGGAGGAGAGGUACGAGGCGUUGAAGGAGCUGGGGACCGGCAACUUCGGGGUGGCGAGGCUGGUCAGGGACAAGCGCACCAAGGAGCUCGUCGCCGUCAAGUACAUCGAGAGGGGCAAGAAGAUUGAUGAGAAUGUGCAGAGGGAGAUCAUCAAUCACCGCUCGCUCCGGCACCCAAACAUCAUACGAUUCAAGGAGGUUUGUGUAACCCCGACGCACCUUGCCAUCGUCAUGGAAUAUGCUGCUGGCGGAGAACUCUUUGAAAGAAUAUGCACCGCGGGGCGAUUCAGUGAAGAUGAGGCAAGAUACUUCUUCCAGCAACUACUUUCAGGGGUCAGCUACUGCCAUUCUAUGGAAAUCUGUCACCGUGAUCUUAAACUGGAAAACACUCUCCUGGAUGGGAGUCCAACACCUCGAGUGAAAAUUUGCGACUUUGGUUACUCAAAGUCUGCUUUGCUGCACUCCAAACCAAAAUCAACAGUUGGUACUCCAGCAUACAUAGCGCCAGAAGUACUUUCGAGAAAAGAAUACGACGGCAAGGUAGCGGACGUUUGGUCCUGCGGCGUGACAUUGUACGUGAUGCUCAUCGGGUCAUACCCAUUUGAGGACCCCGAGGAUCCAAGGAACUUCCGGAAAACUAUCAGCAGAAUCCUUGGCGUGCAAUACUCCAUUCCGGACUACGUCAGGGUGUCCUCCGACUGCAGACGCCUCCUGUCCCAAAUAUUCACUGCCGAUCCUUCAAAGAGGAUCACGAUCGCUGAGAUCAAGAAGCUGCCGUGGUACCUGAAGAGCCUGCCCAAGGAGAUCGCGGAGAGGGACAGGGCCAACUUCAAGGAGCCCGAGACGGAGACGGGGACCGCGGCGGCGGCGGCGCAGCCCGUGGAGGAGAUCAUGCGGAUCAUCCAGGAGGCCAAGGCCCCCGGCGAAAUGUCCAAGUCGUCGGCCGACGCGGCGCUGCUCGCCGAGCUGGCCGAGCUGCAGAGUGACGACGAGGAGGAGGGGCCGGGAGCCGAGGGGGAGACCUACUGA